rnacentral:rRNA from 1 species
UACGUAGGGACCAAGCGUUGUUCGGAUUUACUGGGCGUAAAGAGCGCGCAGGCGGUCGAUCAAGUCGCGUGUGAAAGCCCCCGGCUCAACUGGGGAGGGUCACGCGAUACUGAUCGACUCGAAGGCAGGAGAGGGUAGUGGAAUUCCCGGUGUAGUGGUGAAAUGCGUAGAUAUCGGGAGGAACACCAGUGGCGAAGGCGACUACCUGGCCUGUUCUUGACGCUGAGGCGCGAAAGCUAGGGGAGCAAACGGGG